AGGGCACUACCAGGAGUGGAUCCUGCGGCUCAAUUUGACUCAACACGGGAAAGCUCACCUGGUCCGGACACUGGAAGGAUUGACAGAUUAAGGGCUCUUUCUUGAUUCAGUGGGUGGUGGUGCAUGGCCGUUCCUAGUUGGUGGAGCAGUUUGUCUGGUUAAUUCCGAUAACGAACGAGGCUCUAGCCUACUAAAUAGGUGUUCCGAUCCCAUCAGUCGGACGCUCUUCUUAGAGGGACAAGCGGCGUUUAGCCGCACGAGACAGAGCAAUAACAGGUCUGUGAUGCCCUUAGAUGUCCGGGGCCGCACGCGCGCUACACUGAAGGAACCAGCGUGUGUCCCUGUCCGGCAGGACUGGGUAAUCCGUUGAACCUCCUUCGUGAUAGGGAUAGGGGCUUGUAAUUGUUCCCCUUGAACGAGGAAUUCCCAGUAAGCGUGAAUCAUCAGUUCACGUUGAUUACGUCCCUGGCCUUUGUACACACCGCCCGUCGCUACUACUGAUUGGAUGAUUUUAGUGAG
rnacentral:rRNA from 1 species